rnacentral:rRNA from 1 species
GUAGGGAGCAAGCGUUAUCCGGAUUUACUGGGUGUAAAGGGCGUGUAGGCGGGACUGCAAGUCAGAUGUGAAAACUAUGGGCUCAACUCAUAGCCUGCAUUUGAAACUGUAGUUCUUGAGUGCUGGAGAGGCAAAUGGAACUCCUAGUGUAGCGGUGAAAUGCGUAGAUAUUAGGAAGAACACCAGUGGCGAAGGCGAUUUGCUGGGCUUUAACUGACGCUGAGGCACGAAAGCGUGGGUAGCAAACAGGAUUAGAUACCCUGGUAGUCCACGCUGUAAACGAUGAUUACUAGGUGUGGGGGGUCUGACCCCUUCCGUGCCG